CAUUUUCCUUUACACUGUGCACAUACUACUUUUUUACACCAAUUUUUUAACACAUCAGUCUUAAGAAUGUAAAUCAAGUCUCGAAAGAGCAAUAAAUAAAACAAAACUUUCAGCAACGGAUCUCUUGGCUCUCGCAUCGAUGAAGAACGCAGCGAAAUGCGAUACGUAAUGUGAAUUGCAGAAUUCAGUGAAUCAUCGAAUCUUUGAACGCACCUUGCACUCUUUGGUAUUCCGAAGAGUAUGUCUGUUUGAGUGUCAUGAAACUCUCAACCCCCUCAUUUUGUAAUGAAGUGUAGCGUGGGCUUGGAUUAUGGCUGUCUGUCGGCUUAACCGCCGGCUCAGCUGAAAUAUACGAGCAACCCAGUUUAAAACCCUGACGGCUUGACUCGGCGUAAUAAUUAUUUCGCUGAGGACGUCUAACCUUUAAAUCGUUAGUGGUGCUUCUAAUGCAUUAAUUC
rnacentral:misc_RNA from 1 species